GACGAACGCUGGCGGCGUGCCUAACACAUGCAAGUCAGGGAUUGAAUGAAGGGUAGCAAUACUUUUUUAUUCAGUACCGGCGCACGGUGAGUAACACGUAGGUAAUCUACCCUCAGGCGGGGAACAGCAUCGAGAAAUCGGUGCUAAUACCGCAUGACGCAACGAGACCACAUGAUCUUGUUGUUAAAGAUCCGCAAGGAUCACCCAAGGAUGAACCUGCGCCCGAUUAGCUAGUUGGCGGAGUAAUAGCCCACCAAGGCAACGAUCGGUAGCCGACCUGAGAGGGUGAUCGGCCACACUGGGAACUGGAGACACGGGUCCAGACUCCUACGGGAGGCAGCAGUGAGGAAUAUUGGUCAAUGGCCGAAAGGCUGAACCAGCAAC
rnacentral:rRNA from 1 species